AAAUAGUGUGAGAUACUAUUUUUAUUGGACUUAUAGAAGUAAAAUAUAAGUGGGGAACUACUCAUGCGGAAAUCGAAGCGAGAACAGAAGAUUUUGAAUUUUCUGUGUGAAUCGAGGCUGUUAUUUUAGCAGAAAAUGCACAGUGUCAGAAAAUUUCGAAAAUCUGGGAAUAUGUCAGAAUUAUUUUUAUGAGGCUAGAUUUAAGGUUUCAUGUCAUUCUGACACCCGGAAGGUGAAAAAUAAAAUCCGACAGUUAUCUGAUAAAGAUUACAGUUCGUUACAGUUUUCGGUGACCAAACGGGGUCGAAACUGAAAGAUUAAAAUUUCCUUCGUUAAGUAAGGUUAGACCGAGCAUGA
rnacentral:lncRNA from 1 species